UCACUAUAGGCGAUGAUUAGCGCCGCGAUUCGUCUUGUGCCAGCAGCCGCGGUAAUUCCAGCUCCAAUAGCGUAUAUUAAAGUUGUUGUGGUUAAAAAGCUCGUAGUUGGAUCUCGGCGGACUGAGGGCGGUUUGCUUGCUAGUAUUACUGCCCUAUAGUCCGUAGUUUUGCCAGAGGUUUCGGGGUGCUCUUAAUCGAGUGUCCCGGGAUGCUGGCAGGUUUACUUUGAAAAAAUUAGAGUGCUCAAAGCAGGCUAUUACGCCUGAAUAUUCGUGCAUGGAAUAAUAGAAUAGGAAGUCGUUUCUAUUUUGUUGGUUUUCGGAAAUCGACUUAAUGAUUAAUAGGGACAGUCGGGGGCAUUUGUAUUCAAACGACAGAGGUGAAAUUCUUGGACCGUUUGAAGACAAACUACUGCGAAAGCAUUUGCCAAGAAUGUUUUCAUUAAUCAAGAACGAAAGUCAAAGGUUCGAAGGCGAUUAGAUACCGCCCUAGUUUUAACCAUAAACGAUGCCAGCUAGCGAUCUGCGGACGUUUUUUUUGUAGACUCCGCAGGAAGCUUCCGGGAAACCAAAGCAUUUGGGUUCCAGGGGAAGUAUGGUUGCAAAGCUGAAACUUAAAGGAAUUGACGGAAGGGCACCACCAGGAGUGGAGCCUGUGGCUUAAUUUGACUCAACACGGGAAAUCUCACCAGGCCCGGACACUGGAAGGAUUGACAGAUUGAUAGCUCUUUCUUGAUUCGGUGGGUGGUGGUGCAUGGCCGUUCUUAGUUGGUGGAGUGAUUUGUCUGGUUAAUUCCGAUAACGAACGAGACUCUGUCCUGCUAAAUAGUGUCUGCUUCUCUUUUGAGCAGACAAUUCUUCUUAGAGGGACUGGCGACUCUUAGUCGCACGAGAUUGAGCAAUAACAGGUCUGUGAUGCCCAAGGCGA
rnacentral:rRNA from 1 species